rnacentral:lncRNA from 1 species
GCGCGUCUUAAAAUCGAUGGCGCCUAGGAGUCCAUGAAAUACGGGACAUCUCGCCCGUCCUGAAGGACCCCGCCUCCUUCCGCGCCGCCAUCGGCCUCCUGGCGCGACACCUGAAGGCGACCCACGGGGGCCGCAUCGACUACAUCGCAGGCCUAGACUCCCGAGGCUUCCUCUUUGGCCCCUCCCUGGCCCAGGAGCUUGGACUGGGCUGCGUGCUCAUCCGAAAGCGGGGGAAGCUGCCAGGCCCCACUCUGUGGGCCUCCUAUUCCCUGGAGUACGGGAAGGCUGAGCUGGAGAUUCAGAAAGACGCCCUGGAGCCAGGACAGAGGGUGGUCGUCGUGGAUGAUCUGCUGGCCACUGGUGGAACCAUGAACGCUGCCUGUGAGCUGCUGGGCCGCCUGCAGGCUGAGGUCCUGGAGUGCGUGAGCCUGGUGGAGCUGACCUCGCUUAAGGGCAGGGAGAAGCUGGCACCUGUACCCUUCUUCUCUCUCCUGCAGUAUGAGUGACCACAGGGCCUCCCAGCCCAACAUCUCCAGCUGGAUCCCAGGGAAAUAUCAGCCUUGGGCAACUGCAGUGACCAGGGGCACCGGCUGCCCACAGGGAACACAUUCCUUUGCUGGGGUUCAGCGCCUCUCCUGGGGCUGGAAGUGCCAAAGCCUGGGGCAAAGCUGUGUUUCAGCCACACUGAACCCAAUUACACACAGCGGGAGAACGCAGUAAACAGCUUU